GCAUCAAGCUCUUGUGGAGAUGGUUUUUAUGAGCUGAAAGAUGUGUCUGCCACAACUCAAAGUGAUGCCCUUUCUCUUGAUGGGGGUUUAAUAUCUGAUAAGGCUUAUGUGAAUACCAAACUGUUAAAGCCCCCAAGUUCAGAUUCUGAAUCCAUGUGUAGUUCCAGCUCUGCUUCUGGUGUUGCCUUUCACUGUGCCUCUGGUGGGGGUAAUUCAUGCGAUACUUCUGAGGUGAUAAUCCUAUCAAACCAGGCUAGUUGAUUGCCAUUUAAUUCUUCUUUUGCAGUAGAAAUCAGGUGUUAUUUUGACAGCAUCCAUCGGUAGGUUUUCCGGACCUUACAUCAAGCAGAGGUUGGCUGCUUAAUGUCAUGUCUUGGGAUGCCAGCAUGCCAUUAUGUAGUGGUGAUAGCCGCUGAAGGUGUUGGUCAACAAUGUUGUCAUUUUGGUAAUCUAAUAUCAGAGUUCAUGGAUUUU
rnacentral:misc_RNA from 1 species